rnacentral:rRNA from 1 species
CCUACGGGAGGCUGCAGUGAGGAAUAUUGGUCAAUGGACGAGAGUCUGAACCAGCCAAGUAGCGUGAAGGAUGACUGCCCUAUGGGUUGUAAACUUCUUUUAUAAAGGAAUAAAACGAGGCACGUGUGCCUUUUUGCAUGUACUUUAUGAAUAAGGAUCGGCUAACUCCGUGCCAGCAGCCGCGGUAAUACGGAGGAUCCGAGCGUUAUCCGGAUUUAUUGGGUUUAAAGGGAGCGUAGAUGGGUUGUUAAGUCAGUUGUGAAAGUUUGCGGCUCAACCGUAAAAUUGCAAUUGAUACUGGCAGUCUAGAGUACAGUUGAGGUAGGCGGAAUUCGUGGUGUAGCGGUGAAAUGCUUAGAUAUCACGAAGAACCCCGAUUGCGAAGGCAGCUUACUAAACUGUGACUGACAUUGAUGCUCGAAAGUGUGGGUAUCAAACAGGAUUAGAUACCCCGGUAGUC